rnacentral:lncRNA from 10 species
GCGGCAGGGUCGAGGGCUGUGAAAGCGGUUUAGUGAUUGAAGCGCUACGUUUGUGUGAGGAAUUCUUGUCGUUGUCAGCGCCUGAGAACUUAGUUGGGAGCGGACGUUUACGUCGAAUCUCUCGUUUGGGACCCCAUUCUUGAAUGUGGGAAGAAGUGAGAGCGCAUGUUUGCUCAUCUAGAGACAGCCGUAUUAAUAACGAUAGGAUACAAACCAUCACCCCACCAAGUGAUAGCAGCUGUUAACCUGUGGGCGGUUACGUGCCGGUCACUGUUCCAAGCCCCUCACAUAUCGCGUCACUGAAUCUUUAUAGGGACCCAGAACUCCAUUUGACAGAUGAGGAAACGGAGAGGCAGACAGAUAAAGAUGAUAUUGAGACUCCACUGCUAACUGAAGCAGCCCCCAUCCUUGAAGAUGGAAACUGUGAGCCAGCCAAGAAUUCUGAGUCUGUUGACCAAGGUGCCAAACCAGAGAGUAAAUCAGAACCUGUAGUUUCCACUCGGAAAAGACCAGAGACCAAACCUUCCAGUGACCUUGAGACUUC